GAGGCAAAGGUGGGAGGAUCGCUUGAAUUACAGGCGUGAGCCACUGCGCCGGCCACUUUCUUCCCUUUUAUGGGCUGACCCCGCCUCUACAUUCUGUUCCCUUAUUGUGACCUUCUAGGUGGAUGAGCCCUGCAGUUUGUUAUAUUUGCAGGCUGGCUGCCAGUACUUAGAUUUAUCAUGCCUCAGAAAUGGACCAUUUAAAAUGUUUUCUCACAUACACACUUGUAUCUGUUUUUUUGUGCAUUAUUUUUAUGAGAUUCAUCCAUUCACAUUUUCUCUUCCUCCCUCCCUCCCUCACUCCCUUCCUUCCUUCCUUCCUUCAUUCCUUCUUUCUUUCAUCUCAUUCUGUUACCCAGACUGGAGUGCAGUGGCACAAUCACAGCUCAACGUGGCCUCAACCUUCCGAGCUCAAAUAAUCCUCCCACUUCAGUCUCCUGAGUACCUGGGACUACAGGUGUACACCACCACACCCAGUUAAUUUUUAAUUUUUUUGUAGAGACAGGGUCUCCUUAUGUUGCCCAGGCUGGUCUCAAAGUCCUGGGCUCAAACGACCCGCCUGUCUCAGCCUCCCAAAGUGCUGGGAUUAUAGGGUGAGCCAGAGCACUCGGCCUUUGCUGUUGCUCCCAAGACUGUGCCUGCGGUGGCUGCAGCAUCUUUGUAAUUCACUGCCACUAUUUCGGGAUGACUUGAGGAUGAUUGUAACCAUGUUGUAGACUAAACCAUUAAGGCAGCUGGGAUCAGGGGCUCCAUAUUGCUUAAAAUCUUUACAGCAGAGGUGUGUGUGUGUGUGUGUGUGUGUGUGUGUGUGUGUGAGAGAGAGAGAGAGAGAGAGAAUUUGAAUCCAAUUAAUAUAUAUAUUUUGAGAGAGUCUGGCUCUGUCAUCCAGGCUGGAGUACAGUGGCGCGAUAUCUUGGUUCACUGCAACCUCCACCUUCCAGGUUCAAGUGAUUCUCCUGGAGAAUCCCGCCACUGCACUCCAGCCUGGGUGACACAGUGAGAUUCUGUCUAGAAAAAGAAAAAAAAAAGACAUAGAUUCUUGGCUGGGCGUGGUGGCUCAUGCCUGUAAUCUCAGCACUAUGGGAGGCCAAGACAGGAGGACUGCUCGAGGCCAGGAUUUCCAGACCAGGCCUGGGCAACAUAGCAAGACCCUGUCUCUAAAAGAAGAAAUUAGCCAGACAUGGUAGUGUGUGGCUAGCUACUCAGGAAGCUGAAGC
rnacentral:lncRNA from 10 species